rnacentral:rRNA from 1 species
GACGAACGCUGGCGGCGUGCCUAAUACAUGCAAGUAGGACGCAGUUGCGAACGGGUGAGUAACGCGUAGGUAACUACCUAUUAGAGGGGGAUAACUAUUGGAAACGAUAGCUAAUACCGCAUACUAGUAGAUGGACCUGCGUUGUAUUAGCUAGUAGGUAGGGUAAUGGCCUACCUAGGCAACGAUACAUAGCCGACCUGGAGAGGUGAUCGGCCACACUGGGACUGGGACACGGCCCAAGCUCCUACGGGAGGCAGCAGUAGGGGAACUUGGGCAAUGGGGGGAACCCUGACCUAGCAACGCCGCGGGAGUGAAGAAGGUUUUCGGAUCGUAAAGCUCUGUUGUUAAGGAAGCGGUACUUAACGAGAAAGGGACGGCUAACUACGUGCCAGCAGCCGCGGUAAUAC